rnacentral:rRNA from 1 species
AUUGAACGCUGGCGACAGGCCUAACACAUGCAAGUCGAACGAGUGGCGGACGGGUGAGUAAUGUCUGGGAAACUGCCCGAUGGAGGGGGAUAACUACUGGAAACGGUAGCUAAUACCGCAUACCAUCGGAUGUGCCCAGAUGGGAUUAGCUUGUAGGUGAGGUAACGGCUCACCUAGGCGACGAUCCCUAGCUGGUCUGAGAGGAUGACCAGCCACAUGGGUACUGAGACACGGUCCAGACGCCUACGGUAGGAAGCAGUGGGGAAUAUUGAACAAUUGGCGCAAGCGUGAUGCAGCCAUGCCGCGUGUAUGAAGAAGGCCUUCGGGUUGUAAAGUACGUUCAGCGGGGAGGCGUUACCCGCAGAAGAAGGACCGGCUAACUCCGUGCCAGCCGCCGCGGUAAUAC